rnacentral:rRNA from 1 species
GUGCCAGCCGCCGCGGUAAUACGGGGGGAGCAAGCGUUGUCCGGAUUUACUGGGCGUAAAGGGCGCGUAGGCGGGACGAUCAGUCGGAGGUGAAAUCUCCAGGCUCAACUUGGAAAUUGCCUCCGAUACUGUCGUUCUUGAGUGCAGGAGAGGGUAGUGGAAUUCCCGGUGUAGCGGUGGAAUGCGCAGAUAUCGGGAGGAACACCAGUGGCGAAGGCGGCUGCCUGGCCUGACACUGACGCUGAGGCGCGAAAGCGUGGGGAGCAAACAGGAUUAGAUACCCUGGUAGUCCAUGCUGUAAACUAUGGGUACUAGGUGUUGGAGGAAUCGACCCCUCUGGUGCCGCAGUUAACGCAUUAAGUACCCCGCCUGGGGAGUACGCUCGCAAGGGUGAAACUCAAAUGAAUUGACGGGG